AUUGAACGCUGGCGGCAGGCUUAACACAUGCAAGUCGAACGAGUGGCGGACGGGUGAGUAAUGCUUGGGAAUCUAGCUUAUGGAGGGGGAUAACUACGGGCAACUGUAGCUAAUACCGCGUACCAUAGGAUGAGCCCAAGUGGGAUUAGGUAGUUGGUGGGGUAACGGCGCACCUAGGCGACGCUCCCUAGCUGGUCUGAGAGGAUGACCAGCCACACUGGAACUGAGACACGGUCCAGACUCCUACGGGAGGCAGCAGUGGGGAAUAUUGCACAAUGGGCGCAAGCCUGAUGCAGCCAUGCCGCAUGUGUGAAGAAGGCCGUCGGGUUGUAAAGCACUUUCAGCGGGGAGGCGUUACCCGCAGAAGAAGCACCGGCUAACUCCGUGCCAGCAGCCGCGGUAAUAC
rnacentral:rRNA from 1 species